rnacentral:rRNA from 1 species
GACGCCAUAGAGGGUGAGAGCCCCGUCUGGUUGGACACCGAUCCUCUGUAAAGCUCCUUCGACGAGUCGAGUAGUUUGGGAAUGCUGCUCUAAAUGGGAGGUAUAUGUCUUCUAAAGCUAAAUACCGGCCAGAGACCGAUAGCGCACAAGUAGAGUGAUCGAAAGAUGAAAAGAACUUUGAAAAGAGAGUUAAAAAGUACGUGAAAUUGUUGAAAGGGAAGCGCUUGUGACCAGACUUGGGCUUGGUUGAUCAUCCGGGGUUCUCCCCGGUGCACUCUUCCGGCUCAGGCCAGCAUCAGUUCGCCCUGGGGGAUAAAGGCUUCGGGAAUGUGGCUCUCUCCGGGGAGUGUUAUAGCCCGCUGCGUAAUACCCUGUGGCGGACU